GGAUUAGAUACCCUGGUAGUCCACACUGUAAACGAUGUGCACUAGGUGUUGGGGGGAUACCCUCAGUGCCGCAGCAAACGCGUUAAGUGCACCGCCUGGGGAGUAUGCUCGCAAGGGUGAAACUCAAAGGAAUUGACGGGGGCCCGCACAAGCGGUGGAGCAUGUGGUUUAAUUCGAUGAUACGCGAGAAACCUUACCAGGGCUUGACAUAUAAUAGACGACAUUAGAGAUAAUGUUUCUGCUUGCAGCUGUUAUACAGGUGCUGCAUGGCUGUCGUCAGCUCGUGUCG
rnacentral:rRNA from 1 species